CGGUGAAGCCCAGCUUGCUGGGUGGAUCAGUGGCGAACGGGUGAGUAACACGUGAGCAACCUGCCCUCCACUUCGGGAUAAGCCCUGGAAACGGGGUCUAAUACCGGAUAUGAGCGCCUGCCGCAUGGUGGGUGUUGGAAAGUUUUUCGGUGGGGGAUGGGCUCGCGGCCUAUCAGCUUGUUGGUGGGGUGAUGGCCUACCAAGGCGUCGACGGGUAGCCGGCCUGAGAGGGCGACCGGCCACACUGGGACUGAGACACGGCCCAGACUCCUACGGGAGGCAGCAGUGGGGAAUAUUGCACAAUGGGCGCAAGCCUGAUGCAGCGACGCCGCGUGAGGGAUGACGGCCUUCGGGUUGUAAACCUCUUUCAGCAGGGAAGAAGCGUAAGUGACGGUACCUGCAGAAGAAGCGCCGGCUAACUACGUGCCAGCAGCCGCGGUAAUACGUAGGGCGCAAGCGUUGUCCGGAAUUAUUGGGCGUAAAGAGCUCGUAGGCGGUCUGUCGCGUCUGGUGUGAAAACCCGAGGCUCAACCUCGGGCUUGCAUCGGGUACGGGCGGACUAGAGUGCUGUAGGGGAGACUGGAAUUCCUGGUGUAGCGGUGGAAUGCGCAGAUAUCAGGAGGAACACCGAUGGCGAAGGCAGGUCUCUGGGCAGUUACUGACGCUGAGGAGCGAAAGCAUGGGGAGCGAACAGGAUUAGAUACCCUGGUAGUCCAUGCCGUAAACGUUGGGCACUAGGUGUGGGGACCAUUCCACGGUCUCCGUGCCGCAGCUAACGCAUUAAGUGCCCCGCCUGGGGAGUAC
rnacentral:rRNA from 1 species